AGAACAAUUCUUUGCUGCUUAGUCAAUUGACAUCACUUGAUCCACGAGGAUCUACGCGACGACCUCCUCCGGCUGUUAUUGAGCAGCUUCGAACUUUGAACGCAACACUUCGACUGGGUCACCUACUUUGUCGAAGUCGCCAACCGAACUUUUUAUUGUAAAUUCUGCAUAGGCAAGGAGCUGCGCAAACGAAGCCAUGGCUGGCUGAUUUGAUCGAGUCCAAUGAAGGUGCUUGGAACGUUCUGCCUGUUCAAUGUCUUUCUUGGCAAACGCAAGGAACGUCGUCACAAACACCAACAGUUGGUCCAGCAUCUAAGACUUUUGUUGACUGAUCCCAAUCAACUACCCGAAGCAUGCCGUGAAGUCCUAGACUAUUUGAUGAGACGAUUGAGUGCUCAGCAAGCUCUCGCCCGUCACCAAGCCCUCACGGCAUUGAGUGUGGUCUUGUCAGUAAAAGACGAUGAUAUUACCAUGAGUGAUGGUGCAUGCUCCGAAGGAACAGGAGACGAUUCCCAGUUCUCUUGGCUUGUUCAUCAGUUACCUACCAUCCCACAUUUCGAAGCCGUACGCCCUGCCGUGAUUGCUGCUCUACGGGCCGCCUUUCUAAUUGAAACACAACCAGUAGCCGUAGCGGCGUACUUGAGGUUAUUAUCCACCUGCGCUUUGUAAGAGCCAAUUCAAGACCAAGCUGAUCUUAGCUUGGAUCUUGCCCAGGUAAUUGUAGAGCGUAGCAGUUUCAUUGCUGCUCUCUUACCUUCACCAUCAAACAAAACGCUGGAAUGUUUGUUGCAACUCAUUUGGCAUUACCUUCUCAAAACACGAGAGCCUAACAAAGGAUCCUACAAUUGGUAGGAGAAUCAACACCAAGUUUUGAUACAGUGGCAAUCUGGCGAAGCUGCUUCCCUUCAAAUUAUGGUUGUUCACGUCAUAGUGAGUCUGCUGACUUACGGAGCCCCUCAGCUUGAGCAGCAGUCAACCUGUUUCGGUCGACUACUAGAAAUUUGGUUUCCUGCCAGCGGUGUACAACCCUAGGCCUAUUUAGUCGAGACGACAGAGGAAGCCCAUCUUUAUCCCGACUGGAUCAAACUUCGCAUGAUUCGAUCCUCAGUUGAUCCUAUAGUUGAUACUGCCUUAGCCCUUAAAGGAUUUGGAGCCGGCUCAGAUGAUCCUCUUUAUUCAAUCCUUCGGCUUUCCUGUAUAUUGUCUAUGUCUAAGCUUCUGCAAACUCUGGAUCGAAUGGUGCAGGAUGAUCAUCUGAAUCCUUUUGCCUUCGUCGAGGUUGACAUUGACAAAGUUUACAUACAGCAGUUGCUCCAGAUUCAAUUGGUGAGAGGAGCUCGAGGUGGUUUGCUUUUUGCCGAUAUCAUGCAGUUCGUACUUGGUAGAUACCGAAAUUGGUUCGACCGCUGACAGCAAGGCGUUCAAUCUGACCCUGCGUCCUCACCUGGACAUUUCAUCUCAUCCUUCUAAGAUCAGUUCAUCAUUCACAGGCUCAAUUGUAACUGUAGAUCAUGCCUCUGCUGUCCUGAGGCAACUUUUUCACAUAAAAAUUGUCAUUUGGAUCAGUCAGCUGGAGAAGAACAAGGCCUACCGGAAUUUGAGCAAUGCUUUGACUCGAGAAAUUCGUGCCAACACUCAGCCGUCCACUGAAGCUUGUGCCAUUGCUUUUGAUAAUCUCUUGGCGUCUGCCAGUGUGUCAAGGAAUGAGUUUGAACUUUUGCUAGCGGCUUUAGAGCGCCAACCUGCAUUCUCGUGUGGUUUGCUCCCACUUUUGACGUCAGCAGGAUCUUCACCAGCGGCUUCUCUUGGUACUGGAAAUAUUGUGGUGAUAGUGAUGAACAUUUGUCAGAAGAUAGCUCCGGUCACUCCUGAUGGACAUAGUUCACUGAAAAGUAUCGCUCUUCAAUUUGUCAAGUCCCACGGACUCUUGAGAUCUGAAUCAACUCUGGCUGAUAUCAACACAUUGAACCUGUCCUCCAAGCGGUUGGAGCGUCACUUGUAGCAACUGGCUGCUCGUGCACUGGAAACAAACGAUACUCGUUCACUUGUAAAAAGUAUUGUGAGCAGUUUGAGCCAAAGUGGGUUUAAGGCGAGCUUGGUUGGCCUUUUGGUAGACUGGCUGGAUCCCGAAAUUAUUACAGCCCAGCCUGAUUUAGAGAUGCGGUUGUUGUUAGGUAAAACGCCUAACCCACCAUCUUGUCGUCCGUAUGCCCUCGCAAUGUUGGUGCAUCAGGCCAGUUGGGCUACGCUGCGCAAAUGUAUUCAA
rnacentral:lncRNA from 1 species